rnacentral:rRNA from 1 species
UAAUACGUAGGUGACAAGCGUUAUCCGGAAUUACUGGGCGUAAAGCGCACGCAGGCGGCUGAGUAAGUCUGACGUGAAAUCUCCCGGCUUAACCGGGAGCGGUCGUUGGAAACUACUUGGCUUGAGGCGAUGAGAGGGGUGUGGAAUUCCCGGUGUAGUGGUGGAAUGCGUAGAUAUCGGGAGGAACAUCAGUGGCGAAAGCGGCACCCUGGCAUUAGCCUGACGCUCAGGUGCGAAAGCGUGGGGAGCGAACGGG